AUACGUAGGGGGCAAGCGUUAUCCGGAUUUACUGGGUGUAAAGGGAGCGUAGACGGAAGGCCAAGUCUGAUGUGAAAGCCCGCGGCUCAACUGCGGGACUGCAUUGGAAACUGGUCAUCUGGAGUGCAGGAGGGGUAAGCGGAAUUCCUAGUGUAGCGGUGAAAUGCGUAGAUAUUAGGAGGAACACCGGUGGGGAAGGCGGCUUACUGAACUGUAACUGACGUUGAGGUUCGAAAGCGUGGGGAGCAAACAGGAUUGGAUGCCCUGGUAGUCCACGCCGUAAGCGAUGAAUACUAGGUGUCGGGUUUCUAUAGAGAUUCGGUGCCGCAGCAAACGCAAUAAGUAUUCCACCUGGGGAGUACGUUCGCAAGAAUGAAACUCAAAGGAAUUGACGGGG
rnacentral:rRNA from 1 species